GACGAACGCUGGCGGCGUGCUUAACACAUGCAAGUCGAACGAAGAGCGACGGAAGCUUGCUUCUAUCAAUCUUAGUGGCGAACGGGUGAGUAACGCGUAAUCAACCUGCCCUUCAGAGGGGGACAACAGUUGGAAACGACUGCUAAUACCGCAUACGAUCUAAUCUCGGCAUCGAGGAUGGAUGAAAGGUGGCCUCUACAUGUAAGCUAUCACUGAAGGAGGGGAUUGCGUCUGAUUAGCUAGUUGGAGGGGUAACGGCCCACCAAGGCGAUGAUCAGUAGCCGGUCUGAGAGGAUGAACGGCCACAUUGGGACUGAGACACGGCCCAGACUCCUACGGGAGGCAGCAGUGGGGAAUCUUCCGCAAUGGACGAAAGUCUGACGGAGCAACGCCGCGUGAGUGAUGACGGCCUUCGGGUUGUAAAGCUCUGUUAAUCGGGACGAAAGGCCUUCUUGCGAAUAGAGAGAAGGACUGACGGUACCGGAAUAGAAAGCCACGGCUAACUACGUG
rnacentral:rRNA from 1 species